AGUAAAAUAUCAAAGCAGAUUUUGGCAGUAUAAAAGUAAACAUUUUCAUCACUUUGAAUAGAAAUACAAAUUUAUCGUCAUCUGACAUACUAUUAAAAUCAUGACAAAAAGAAUUAGCAUGACUUAACAACACAGCACGAAAAUCUGCAUAUAGUGGACAUUUCAAAAUAACAUGUUUUUCAUCUUCAAUGGUAUCAUUACAACUAAAACAUAUUCUUUCAUUAAUAGGUAAGUUCUGAUACCGGCCCGUUUCAAUUUUUAGGGGCGCAACACCACAGCGAAAUUUGCCAAAAGCACUUCUAUAUUUCCCUGCAAUAGUUUUACAAAUGUCAUAAGAACCUAUGUGGACAAUUAUUUGAUUUAACAAAAAUAAGCAUUAUUAUCUUUCAUUACUUAUAACUAUUGAAUUGCGGAAUUUAGGGGGGGGAGGGGGCGGUAGUUGCUUUCGUCUCCUCACCUUGAUUGAAAAAAAUAUAAAAAUAAAGACGUCAAUAUUCGCCUCGAUCCGCACGGCAGUCUAUAUUCCGUUUCAGGAAUCACACUUUUUUAGGAAUCACACUUAGUCUACCUUUUAAAAAUAAGGGAUACGCCCCUUCUGUUUUAUUCUGUCUUAUGGUUAGUGAUGCACAAGACUGAUAAUUGUUUCAUAAUCUAUCAUAAUUUCGAACAACCUUCAAUAGACUUUUAAACCUCGAGACAAAGACAUACGAAAAAUGUCGCUUUUUUAUUUUUCCAGUUGACAGUGCCAAA
rnacentral:lncRNA from 1 species